rnacentral:rRNA from 1 species
UGCGUAGGCGGGCUAAUAAGUCAGUGGUGAAAUCUUUCGGCUCAACCGAGAAACUGCCAUUGAUACUGUUAGUCUUGAGUUCGGUUGAGGUAGGCGGAAUGUGUAAUGUAGCGGUGAAAUGCUUAGAUAUUACACAGAACGCCAAUUGCGUAGGCAGCUUACUAGACCGACACUGACGCUGAGGCACGAAAGCGUGGGGAGCGAACAGGAUUAGAUACCCUGGUAGUCC